rnacentral:lncRNA from 1 species
CUGCAAGCAGUUUCACAAUUUCAUCUGGCAGCAUUCCCUGGUAAUUAGGGGACUCUUGUUUUGGUUCAAUUUCCUUCACAUCUUCAAUGCUUUCCUCCUCUCCCGAUGGUCGUGGAGUUAACUUUUGAGCCCAUCUUCUCCGACGCUCUUUUCCCUCGCAAACAACUCUGGCCUUAUUUUCUUUUUGAAGUAUAGUUAUUACUUCAUCUUGUUCGAUUCCCUGUUGAGAGGUGAAUUCCUCGGGGGCUGCAUCGUCGGAGUCACUAUCUCCU